GUGAAUCAUCGAAUCUUUGAACGCACAUUGCGCUUCCUGGCAUCCCGGGAAGUAUGCCUGUUUGAGGGUCAGUAUUAACAAAAAAUCGGUUUGGUUGCAAAUUGUGACGUUUCUGGAGUUCGGGCUAUCUUAACUUUUUUGGUUAAGGGGCUUAAAAUUGACCUUAUUUGCGCAUUUUUAGACGUACAUAAAUUUUUUUUUAUUCCUCUACUCUUAAAUCCUAAAUCUUUAUUGAU
rnacentral:misc_RNA from 1 species